GAUGAACGCUGGCGGCGUGCCUAAUACAUGCAAGUCGAGCGAACGGACGAGAAGCUUGCUUCUCUGAUGUUAGCGGCGGACGGGUGAGUAACACGUGGAUAACCUACCUAUAAGACUGGGAUAACUUCGGGAAACCGGAGCUAAUACCGGAUGAUAUUUUGAACCGCAUGGUUCAAAAGUGAAAGACGGUCUUGCUGUCACUUAUAGAUGGAUCCGCGCUGCAUUAGCUAGUUGGUAAGGUAACGGCUUACCAAGGCAACGAUGCAUAGCCGGCCUGAGAGGGUGAUCGGCCACACUGGAACUGAGACACGGUCCAGACUCCUACGGGAGGCAGCAGUAGGGAAUCUUCCGCAAUGGGCGAAAGCCUGACGGAGCAACGCCGCGUGAGUGAUGAAGGUCUUCGGAUCGUAAAACUCUGUUAUUAGGGAAGAACAUAUGUGUAAGUAACUGUGCACAUCUUGACGGUACCUAAUCAGAAAGCCACGGCUAACUACGUG
rnacentral:rRNA from 1 species